UUUAUUUUGACAGAAAAUUGUAAUGAAUUUAGGAUUCAAAAAUAUAUUAAAAUAAUUAAUAUAAAUAAAA
rnacentral:tRNA from 1 species